GAUGAACGCUGGCGGCGUGCCUAAUACAUGCAAGUCGAGCGAACGGACGAGAAGCUUGCUUUUCUGAUGUUAGCGGCGGACGGGUGAGUAACACGUGGAUAACCUACCUAUAAGACUGGGAUAACUUCGGGAAACCGGAGCUAAUACCGGAUAAUAUUUUGAACCGCAUGGUUCAAUAGUGAAAGACGGUCUUGCUGUCACUUCUAGAUGGAUCCGCGCUGCAUUAGCUAGUUGGUAAGGUAACGGCUUACCAAGGCAACGAUGCAUAGCCGACCUGAGAGGGUGAUCGGCCACACUGGAACGGAGACACGGUCCAGACUCCUACGGGAGGCAGCAGUAGGGAAUCUUCCGCAAUGGGCGAAAGCCUGACGGAGCAACGCCGCGUGAGUGAUGAAGGUCUUCGGAUCGUAAAACUCUGUUAUGAGGGAAGAACAUAUGUGUAAGUAACUGUGCACAUCUUGACGGUACCUAAUCAGAAAGCCACGGCUAACUACGUG
rnacentral:rRNA from 1 species